rnacentral:rRNA from 1 species
GAUGAACGCUGACAGAAUGCUUAACACAUGCAAGUCUACUUGAAUUUGGGUUUUUUAACUUAGAUUUGGGUGGCGGACGGGUUAGUAACGCGUAAAGAACUUGCCUCACAGUUAGGGACAACAUUUGGAAACGAAUGCUAAUACCUGAUAUUAUGAAUAUAUGGCAUCAUAUAAUUAUGAAAGCUAUAAGCGCUGUGAGAGAGCUUUGCGUCCCAUUAGCUAGUUGGAGAGGUAACGGCGCACCAAGGCGAUGAUGGGUAGCCGGCCUGAGAGGGUGAACGGCCACAAGGGGACUGAGACACGGCCCUUACUCCUACGGGAGGCAGCAGUGGGGAAUAUUGGACAAUGGACCAAGAGUCUGAUCCAGCAAUUCGGUGUGCACGAUGACGUUUUUCGGAAUGUAAAGUGCUUUCAGUUGGGAAGAAAAAAAUGACGGUACCAACAGAAGAAGUGACGGCUAAAUACGUG